UUGGGCAUGUCUAUGCGGGUGGAGAGAGCAUCUCUUGAACUGCUACUUCUUUUAAGUAAUUCUUUUUUUUUUUGGGUAAAUCUGAAAAUAUCUUUUAAGUGAUUAUUAGUUCUUUUUCCAAAGGAGAAAUUAAUUAAUAUGGUAAUGUGCAAGUUUUGAUACUUGCUAUUCAUUUAAAUUUUUUGGCAUUAAACACACGUACUUCUGUAUGCAAGAAUAAAGAAUAGCCCAUAGAACAUAGAGGAUAACAAACCUAAAGAAGAAAUUGGAGGAAACCACCAGAAGUAUUAAAAAGAAAUAGAUAAUUAAAGAGGGUGAAUUUCCUCAAGUAUUUUUCAUUUUAAAUGAUUAAGCAGAGGCUUUGUAUUUUGUUGUGAUGUUAUGCAAAACAAAACAUAUAAUAUGUGGAAGAUAGAGGCUUACAAAAGUUCCUUCCCUGUUGAUGUAUUGAAACUGGACAAUUAAAUGUGUUAUUUCCAGUCAUCCCAACCGCAUGUCAAACCACCACUGCUUAUUUAUAGUGGGAUGGUGCGUUUCCUCCUGAAAUACUUGCAGGUCUAUCAGCAAUUUGAAACUCUCAAGAAACGGACAAGUCCUGGCAUAUUCACAGAACAAGGCAAAUUUUGAAACAGAGGAAACAUUCAAUACUUUUAUCUAGGACUAGAGUUGUUAUACCUUUCCUCGUUUUUUUUUUCUCAUAUGAAAGGAUUUUAAAACAACAGCAAGAAGAGGAGCAAAGGAAGCGUCAACGCUAGGAAAGAAAGAAAGAGAAAAAGGUAAGUAUCGACUAUAAUGGAAAUUCCUAAAAUGAAAAAUUUAAAAUUGAGCCCUUUAGAUAUUUGUCUGAAGGCAUGUGCGACUUUGAUCGACAGAAUACCAAAUCAGAGUUUGUUUAUCUGAAAAAUGGAAUUUCCAUAUGAAUCUCUUCUCCUAAUGGAUUUUUCUCCUGUAAAAUCACUGUACCAUGUUUACUAUGACAAUUAGUGGCAUGCUGUUGAUCCAUUUCUGGUUGUGUGUACAAAAAGAGAAGGCAGCAGAAGAGGAAGAAGCUGAUGUAGAUCCUGAUGUUGCUGCCAUGUUGGGAUUUGUUGGUUUCCGUUCUUCGAAAAAGUAAUCAUAAUCUUGGUCUUCCUUUACCAUUGCAAAGGAGCUAUGCCAUAUAACAUUGGACCUUUUUCUUCUAGACAUCUCUAGGAGUGCAGCUUAAAUUUUGGUAGUUGUAAAAUUUCAUGUUGUUUAAAUGUUCAAAAUUAAUUGUGAAAAAAAAAAUAUUGACUAACAUUAGUUUGGGAUUAGCUUAGGAUAAAGUAGACUUGAGCAAACCUCAUCUCUCGAGCUAACUUCUGGGAUUGAGUUAGAUUGAUUUGAUUUGGUCCAUUUGCUUAACUUGGUAUCAGAGUCUAUCCUUCUUCAAUGUUAUGUUGGGCUUUACACAAAUAUAUUUAUUUAUAAUUUUUAUGCUUUAAAUAUUUAUGUAUGGACAGGCCGCGGCGGCGGAGGAGAGCGGGGGAAGCAGGGGAAGAGGUGUUAGGAUCUGUUUUUCACCCGGUCCAUUUUCUCAGUAAAAAGUCUCAAAUUUGUUGACAUGGAAUGUAACUAAUACCUUCAGACUCCAAAUCCCCUUUUGGGAAAGUAGUGUUAUUUCUUUAUUUCACUUUUGCGAGCAAAACAAUCUUCUUGUUGUGUCUCUUGAUUUGUUUAUCCUUUUUUUCUGCUGUACCAUGGGGUGUAGUUGGGUUGCUUAUGGUUGGUAAUUAUUAUUAUUGUUGUUAUUAAUUUCUGCUUACUAAGGAAAGGUUAAAUAUGACUGACAUUUG
rnacentral:misc_RNA from 1 species